UACGAAGGGGGCUAGCGUUGUUCGGAAUUACUGGGCGUAAAGCGUGCGCAGGCGGCCAUCCAAGUCAGUGGUGAGAGCCCGGAGCUCAACUCCGGAAUUGCCAUUGAAACUGUUUGGCUCGAGUACGAGAGAGGUGAGUGGAAUUCCCAGUGUAGAGGUGAAAUUCGUAGAUAUUGGGAAGAACACCGGUGGCGAAGGCGGCUCACUGGCUCGUAACUGACGCUGAGGCGCGAAAGCUAGGGGAGCAAACAGG
rnacentral:rRNA from 1 species